GAUGAACGCUGGCGGCGUGCCUAAUACAUGCAAGUCGAGCGAACAGACGAGGAGCUUGCUCCUCUGACGUUAGCGGCGGACGGGUGAGUAACACGUGGAUAACCUACCUAUAAGACUGGGAUAACUUCGGGAAACCGGAGCUAAUACCGGAUAAUAUAUUUAACCGCAUGGUUCAAUAGUGAAAGACGGUUUUGCUGUCACUUAUAGAUGGAUCCGCGCCGCAUUAGCUAGUUGGUAAGGUAACGGCUUACCAAGGCAACGAUGCGUAGCCGACCUGAGAGGGUGAUCGGCCACACUGGAACUGAGACACGGUCCAGACUCCUACGGGAGGCAGCAGUAGGGAAUCUUCCGCAAUGGGCGAAAGCCUGACGGAGCAACGCCGCGUGAGUGAUGAAGGUCUUCGGAUCGUAAAACUCUGUUAGGAGGGAAGAACAAAUGUGUAAGUAACUAUGCACGUCUUGACGGUACCUAAUCAGAAAGCCACGGCUAACUACGUG
rnacentral:rRNA from 1 species